AUGUAUAUUCCAGAUAUCUGUAGUAUUAUUAGAAUCAUGAGAUUAAAACACAUUUACCUCUCCUCCACUUCUUUGAAGUGUCUCGCAGUCCCAGCGCACUGGCUAGCAUGUUUUGGUUCGUGCAACUGGUCCGUCGGUUUAUUGUCUCCCCAGGAACAUUUCCGUUGUGUCGUUUCCUGUUUCCGUUGUGUCUUUUCCUAUUUCCGUUGUGUCUUUUCCUAUUUGCGUUGUGCUUUGUGUGCUUUUGCAGCGUUUUUCUUUUUGCAGCAUUUUUUCUUUUUGCAGCGCUUUUCUUUUUGCAGGUGUUUUUCUUUUUGCAGCGCUUUUCUUUUUGCAGCGUUUUUCUUUUUGCAGCAUUUUUCUUUUUGCAGGUGUUUUCUGAAGUUGCAGUGCAGCGUUUUUCUUGAAGUUGCAGUGCAGCGUUUUUCUUUUUGCAGCGUUUUCCUUUUUGCAGCAUUUUUCUUUUUGCAAGUGUUUUCUGAAGUUGCAGUCCGUUUGGCCUCUCAGGGCCACUGUACCAUGGGGAAUGAAGGUGUUUAUGACAGGAAAAUUCUGCGCAACUGGAGGAAUUUUCUGAGGAUGAGAGGGCAUGAAGACACCAUGGAGUGGCAGUUACAGACUAUGCAACACAACAAGCAACAGGAUUCUAGCAGUUGCGGAGUUUUGCUGUUAAAGUUUGCAGAACAGUACCUUGCUUUUGGAGAGGUCAGUGAGGUGUUAACCACUACAGAAGCAGUUGUGCUGGAGCGAAUGCAGAUAGCUUGCACCCUACUUGAACAUCGAGGAAACACUGAGGAUUACUGCAUUGUUUGCUCUAUGUUAGAUGCUGACGCUGACCGCAGCAUGAUUGAAAUGGUGCAGUGUGAAUCUUGCCAAAGAUGGGCACAUUUUGCAUGUGCAAAAUAUAAAGACAGCAACCAAGAAUAUAAAUGCAAAAAAUGUAAGGAAAACACAUUACAACUUCUAAUAAAAACAGCUGUCUUUUCCCCUCCAUGUCUCUUUGCAUUCUUUGUCAACAUUAGAUGAUUGUGUGCUGGAGGCACGUUUUGAUAGUGUGAUUUGGCCAUCUAAACAUCCUACCUAAAGAAAUCCAAGCAGGAAGCAAGUUUUGAUAGAGUGAUUUGGCCAUCUAAACAUCCUACCUAAAUGUUAGGUCUAAACUCAGACCCCGCUGUAUCCAGGACUUAUUCCCAUGAAAGAAAAACAAGGCAACAGUGUUCGAUCGAUUACUUGCGCAAGGGAGGCCUCCUCUGUGUCCAGCACGAAAAUGACCCCGAUGAGGGCCUCCUCUCGCUGGCUUUUAUUGACAAACUUCAAACAAUAGUUUACAAAACACCUCCCCUCGCAACCCCCUUUGGUUACAAAGACAAGGCACUGUAUGUAAAUGUAUAUACAAGAAUGUGGGUGUGUGUGUGUGUGUGUGUGUGUUCUCCUGCUGAUCAAAAGGGUCAUAAAACAUAAAAGCAGGAGAAACAUCCUUGGUCCUAAAGAGGGUAGUCUCCCCCACACCCA
rnacentral:lncRNA from 1 species